UCAAGGUUGACUCAGCCUUCCAUUCUUCCAAGGUGGGUAAAAUGAGGACCCAAAAUUGUUGGGGACAAUAGGCUGACUCUGUAAACUGCUUAGAGUGGGCUGUAAAGCACUGUGAAAGCAGUAAAUAAGUCUAAGUACCAUUGUUAUUGCUAAAACUAAAAAUAAA